GAUGAAGAACGUAGCGAAAUGCGAUAAGUAAUGUGAAUUGCAGAAUUCAGUGAAUCAUCGAAUCUUUGAACGCACCUUGCGCCCUUUGGCUAUUCCGAAGGGCAUGCCUGUUUGAGUAUCAUGAACACCUCAACUCUCAUGGCCUGCCAUGAUGAGCUUGGACUUUGGGGGUCUUGCCGGCCUAGUGUCGGCUCCUCUCAAACGGAUCAGCUUGCCAGUGUUUGGUGGCGUCACAGGUGUGAUAACUAUCUACGCUUGUGGUCCCCCGCCAUGUAAACUUCAGCGAUGGAGGUUCGCUGGAGCUCACAGAUGUCUCUCCUCGACGAGGACAGCUUUUUGAACGUUUGAUCUCAAAUCAGGUAGGACUACCCGCUGAACUUAAGCAUAUCAAUAAGCGGAGGA
rnacentral:misc_RNA from 1 species